rnacentral:lncRNA from 1 species
CUGUGGCACCAAGUCGUAGCUCACUGUCUUGUCCUGGUUCUGCUAUAUUUUCUCUUUGUUGCAGGCGGUAUCAUAAACUGAUUUUUUGUGGUUCAGUUAGACGAGAGCGAUGAAGAGCAACUUUUGUGAACUAGAGUUUCAGAUGCUACCAUGGUAGUAUUUGACGAUCAAACCCUUUUUAUUAGUAGUUUACUUAUGUUGUUUUUUACUUCCUGUUCUGAGAAGAUGAAUUUUGAAUGGUGAUGAACAACUGUGUUUUGGACUAGAGUUUCUGAUACUAGUGGUAGUUGAAGACCAAACCGUUAACUGUCUGAACUCAAAUCUAUCGAGCGGGCAAUACCUGACAUUUUAGAUGAUUUUUUUUUAUUAAAUGCGUCCAUUACCAAUUCUGAAGGAAGACUCUGUUCCUCUUUGUAUAAUGGCUCGGACGCCACAUGGUAUUCUAAAAUAGUUGUGUGGUUAUAUCCUGAUUGGUUGCGUUCUUUUAUGGCAAUCCAAUCCUGGAAAGGCCGCAUAUAUUCCAUCGCAUGCAAAACUGAUAAUUUUUCCACGUUUUUUUGGUAAUACCUUGAAGUGAUAGUGCCUGACCUGCUUGAUCGUGUAUCAUGAUAUUUCUUUUAUAUCGGAUACGAUGAUCUGAUAGAUUCCUUAUCUUUUUUCUCGUAUGAGUUGUCUAAAAAGAGGUGGGUGACGAUAACAAAGUAAAAUACAGCCAAUGUUGCAGAACAGGCCAACUUUUGCCUAUUAUAUUUUGGUAUCUCUUAACUAGUGGUGCGAGGCCAAUUGUUCACUUGUUAAUUUAACUAACUAAUUUUAAAUGUUGGUUGGUUUGGUAUCUUGGUAAUAUUUUGGUAUCUCUGAACUAAUUUUAAAUGUUGUUAGGGUAUAUUUUGUUUACCCUUGUAAUUGAUGUGUUAAUGUUGUUUGUUUCGAGGUUUCUCUUGAAUGUAAUCAUCACUGGUAACAUUGUGUCUUGAGAGGCAACAAAUUAGAGUCUUUGAUGGGCUUCUUUCUGUAGCUCAUUCAGCGCUUUACGUUGCCAAUAGCAAGCUUGGAAUAAGUUAUCAUGCAUUCACUGUCUUCUCGAACAGUGUGUGCAUCCCCAUGUCCAACAUUCCUCACUUUGCUUAAACGCUUUGCAAAAUUUCUUCUGUUGAUGUGUGUUUGGCUUGUAUGUGACUAUAAAUAACAACUGCCUUACUGCAGGUGACUUUUUUCUGGGAUGGAGCUCAUAUUUGCAGGUGAUUGAUUCAUCUUGGGGCUGAGAUUGAAAUAGGGUAUUUCAGUGAUUCAAAAUAAUUCUUGGUGUACAUCAUCAUUAGUUUUGUAUUGUUUUAUUUACACAGUAUUCGGUGGUUUAUUAAAUUCAGAUAUGGCACAUAUGAUAAUGAUCAGAGUGGUUUCUGAACAUACGAAGUAGCCGCCCAAGAGCUUUCAACCUGCCAAGUUUCAGAGCUAGUGCUGUUACAUCGUUGGCAAUGCCACAACAUUUUUUCACAUACAUUUAUUUCCCAAUGCGUUGUCCUUAAUGCCAUGUCCUUAUGUAGCAGUUCAUGAACAAGAUUGGAAGGAUAUAAGCACUCAACGACCUUCGUCGAC